UACGAACGCUGGCGGCGUGCUUAACACAUGCAAGUCGAACGGAAAGGCCCUGCUUUUGUGGGGUGCUCGAGUGGCGAACGGGUGAGUAACACGUGAGUAACCUGCCCUUGACUUUGGGAUAACUUCAGGAAACUGGGGCUAAUACCGUAUAGGAGCUCCUGCUGCAUGGUGGGGGUUGGAAAGUUUCGGCGGUUGGGGAUGGACUCGCGGCUUAUCAGCUUGUUGGUGGGGUAGUGGCUUACCAAGGCUUUGACGGGUAGCCGGCCUGAGAGGGUGACCGGCCACAUUGGGACUGAGAUACGGCCCAGAGUCCUACGGGAGGCAGCAGUGGGGAAUAUUGCACAAUGGGAGGAAGCCUGAUGCAGCAACGCCGCGUGCGGGAUGACGGCCUUCGGGUUGUAAACCGCUUUCGCCUGUGACGAAGCGUGAGUGACGGUAAUGGGUAAAGAAGCACCGGCUAACUACGUG
rnacentral:rRNA from 1 species